GUGAGGAAUAUUGCGCAAUGGAGGCAACUCUGACGCAGCCAUGCCGCGUGCAGGAAGAAGGCGCUACGCGUUGUAAACUGCUUUUAACCGGGAAGAAACCCCAGGACGUGUCCUGGGUUGACGGUACCGGAGGAAUAAGCACCGGCUAACUUCGUGCCAGCAGCCGCGGUAAUACGAAGGGUGCAAGCGUUAUCCGGAUUCAUUGGGUUUAAAGGGUGCGUAGGCGGAGCGUUAAGUCAGGGGUGAAAUCCUGCAGCUUAACUGUAGACUUGCCAUUGAUACUGGCGCUCUUGAGUGCGCUUGAAGUGGGCGGAAUGUGCCGUGUAGCGGUGAAAUGCUUAGAUAUGGCACAGAACACCAAUUGCGAAGGCAGCUCACUAAGGCGAUACUGACGCUGAGGCACGAAAGCGUGGGGAUCGAACAGGAUUAGAAACCCGUGUAGUCC
rnacentral:rRNA from 1 species